UAUCCGUGUAUUCAUCUCAGCUCAGAGUACGGGUGGCAAGCUGGCACACAGAUCCUGCAGACAUGGCCUUCACGAGCGCAGAAGCAGAAACUGUGUCGCGGGCAAUCAAUCACCCCGAGCCUGCGCCAGCAUGACUCCUGACACAGCGCAUGCUGACUGGAAGGAUACAGGGAGUUGGGGGCAGACUUACCUUCUGCUGGGUGGCAACGGCCAAUGUGAAGAAAUGACAAAGACCACAACGAGAUGCCUCCCUUGGAAUUGUUUUCACUCCAUCACACAGCGAAGCCAGAACAUAUGAAAGCAUGACAUAAUAAGCAAGUCUAAUGAUAUUGUUUUUCAUUUUCUGAAGUUCAACAACUACAAAAAAGAAAAUGUCAUCAGAAAUGGC
rnacentral:lncRNA from 1 species